UACGAAGGGGGCUAGCGUUGCUCGGAAUCACUGGGCGUAAAGGGUGCGUAGGCGGGUCUUUAAGUCAGGGGUGAAAUCCUGGAGCUCAACUCCAGAACUGCCUUUGAUACUGAGGAUCUUGAGUACGGGAGAGGUGAGUGGAACUGCGAGUGUAGAGGUGAAAUUCGUAGAUAUUCGGAAGAACACCAGUGGCGAAGGCGACACACUGGCCCAUUACUGACGCUGAGGCUCGAAAGCGUGGGGAGCAAACAGG
rnacentral:rRNA from 1 species